rnacentral:rRNA from 1 species
UACGUAGGGUGCGAGCGUUAAUCGGAAUUACUGGGCGUAAAGCGUGCGCAGGCGGUUUUGUAAGUCUGUCGUGAAAGCCCCGGGCUCAACCUGGGAAUUGCGAUGGAGACUGCAAGGCUUGAAUCUGGCAGAGGGGGGGUAGAAUUCCACGUGUAGCAGUGAAAUGCGUAGAGAUGUGGAGGAACACCGAUGGCGAAGGCAGCCCCCUGGGUCAAGAUUGACGCUCAUGCACGAAAGCGUGGGGAGCAAACAGG